GAUACUAUUGCUGGUUUAUGCCUGUUGUCGGGCUGCGUGAUGCGCUUGAUGAGUGAAGACAAUGAUGUGGAUCAAGUGGAUUUAUUGCUACAGCAACAUACUGCCUACGUUCUGAGAAAGGAAUUGCUUCCCAGUGUGAUAACGUGCAGCCAGGAAGCCGCCAGUACUUUGAAAUGUACCAGACACUCACAUCACGAGAGAAGGAAUGUAAUACCGGCGAAGGAAUAAAAUAGGAAAAAAAUGACAAGUGGUUGUCCGGCCCAAACCCUUCAACGCUCAAAUAAAUCCAUGUAUUGGAAAAAUC